rnacentral:rRNA from 1 species
AUCAUUACCGAGUAGGGGCUUCGCGUCCCCGGAGGCUCCGGCCUCCAACUCUUCACCCUAUUGCUCACCUUACCCUCGUUGCUUUGGCGGACCUCGGGGUCUCUUCGUGCUGACCUUUGGGCCGGCGCGUGUCCGUCAAAGGUCCCUUAAAUUCGAUCUAUUAGUGAUGUCCGAGUCAAACAUGAAUAUUAAAAACUUUCAACAACGGAUCUCUUGGUUCCAGCAUCGAUGAAGAACGCAGCGAAAUGCGAUAACUAAUGUGAAUUGCAGAAUUCAGUGAAUCAUCGAGUCUUUGAACGCACAUUGCGCCCCUCGGUAUUCCGAGGGGCAUACCUGUUCGAGCGUCAUUGCACCCCUCAAGCGCAGCUUGGUAUUGGGUUUCGUCCCCGAGGCGUGCCCGAAAGUUAGUGGCGGUCCGGCGAGACUUUGAGCGUAGUAAAAUCUAUCCCGCCUAUAAGUUCGCGCUGUGGCCGGCCAGACAACCGUUCUCCUUCAAUAAUUGACCUCGGAUCAGGUAGGG